UACGUAGGUGGCAAGCGUUGUCCGGAAUUAUUGGGCGUAAAGCGCGCGCAGGCGGUCCUUUAAGUCUGAUGUGAAAGCCCACGGCUCAACCGUGGAGGGUCAUUGGAAACUGGGGGACUUGAGUGCAGAAGAGGAGAGUGGAAUUCCACGUGUAGCGGUGAAAUGCGUAGAGAUGUGGAAGAACACCAGUGGCGAAGGCGACUCUCUGGUCUGUAACUGACGCUGAGGCGCGAAAGCAUGGGGAGCGAACAGG
rnacentral:rRNA from 1 species